CAGUCGCCGCGGUAAUACGUAGGUGGCAAGCGUUGUCCGGAAUUAUUGGGCGUAAAGGGCUCGCAGGCGGUUUCUUAAGUCUGAUGUGAAAGCCCCCGGCUCAACCGGGGAGGGUCAUUGGAAACUGGGAAACUUGAGUGCAGAAGAGGAGAGUGGAAUUCCACGUGUAGCGGUAAAAUGCGUAGAGAUGUGGAGGAACACCAGUGGCGAAGGCGACUCUCUGGUCUGUAACUGACGCUGAGGAGCGAAAGCGUGGGGAGCGAACAGGAUUAGAGACCCCGGUAGUCCCUGUCUCUUAUAC
rnacentral:rRNA from 1 species